rnacentral:rRNA from 1 species
UACGAAGGGGGCUAGCGUUGCUCGGAAUCACUGGGCGUAAAGGGUGCGUAGGCGGGUUUUUAAGUCAGAGGUGAAAUCCUGGAGCUCAACUCCAGAACUGCCUUUGAUACUGGGAAUCUUGAGUAUGGAAGAGGUGAGUGGAACUGCGAGUGUAGAGGUGAAAUUCGUAGAUAUUCGCAAGAACACCAGUGGCGAAGGCGGCUCACUGGUCCAUAACUGACGCUGAGGCACGAAAGCGUGGGAGCAACAGGG